UAAUGUAUGGGGAUCUGCCCGAUAGAGGGGGAUAACUACUGGAAACGGUGGCUAAUACCGCAUAAUGUCUACGGACCAAAGCAGGGGCUCUUCGGACCUUGCACUAUCGGAUGAACCCAUAUGGGAUUAGCUAGUAGGUGGGGUAAAGGCUCACCUAGCGACGAUCUCUAGCUGGUCUGAGAGGAUGAUCAGCCACACUGGGACUGAGACACGGCCCAG
rnacentral:rRNA from 1 species